rnacentral:lncRNA from 1 species
UGAUCAAAGGCCUGUUUGGCAUCCAGCAUGAAAAGAGGUGUUUACAUUAUCAGUGAAUCAGGCAUAACAACGUUCCCAUCACUCCUUUCAUUCAUCUGUCAAUAAGCACUGAUUAUACCCUUGUUAGGUGUGGGCAUUUAUGUCUGGGACACAAAGAUAUUUAACAUAUGGUUGACAACUCUGAGGAACUCUGUCUAGCUGAUCAUACAGACCAAGACUAAACAAAGCAAGACAAAUUAUUACAACACAAUGUAAUAAUGCUCACCUAGAAACACACACAAAGUGACAGUUAAGAGAAGAAGCAACUGACGACUCAAAAAAGGGGAAUUUGAAGGAAUUUGAAUCUAGUAAGCCAUGAGUCAGUGAAAAGAUAAACUGAAGCUAAGGUUGAAUAAGAAAUACAUUUUUAAAUUUGUAGAGCAGUGCCAGGUUAUAAAGGGCUGCAAACAUCAAGCAGAGUAUUUUACAUGUAGUAUAACAGUUUACAGGAUCCCUACAAGUUGUACUGUUGAAGUGAUUUAUUCCUGUUGUUUGUUUUGGAUUAGACCAGAAGCAACAGGCCCACAGGACCGGAAGAAUCAGGGAACCACAAGUGAGGAGUUAGGGCAUUGACUAGGAGAACAGAUGUGAAGUGAAGAAAUGAGCUGCUGGAAUAGCUGUGGUGGCUGAGAAAGAACAAACCCGAAAGUAGACCUGGCAAAAGAAGUGGAAACUUCGGGUCCUUCUCAGCUGAUUCUGUAUGUUAUAACAUCUGCUGAAGGUAGCUGGGUUGACACCUCAAUGCUACACAUUACUAGUCACUCAAAAUACCUUCUGGAUUAGGAGAAAAAAUAUAAGGCCAUCUUGAAGGUCAUAUCCUAGGAAGAUUUAUGCAAUGGAAGCCCAGCAGUGUACAAUAUGGGAAACAGAGAGUUGGCAGGAAGAGUUUCAAGGGCAAGCUUCAAAGAAUGCCCAUUAUAUUAUUCACUCUCCAUAAUUCUACCAGAAAUGCAAUCAGUGGUUACCUUUCUCCUAGUCUGUAGGGUUUGUGUUAUUCAUCUUUUUACUUGAGAAGGAGGGUGCAGUGGCAAAGGAAGACCAGUGGACUCAGAAGAUAAAAGUUCGUGUCUCAUUUCUGCUGUUUCUUGGCUGGAUGAUCCCUGAAUUGCCAAUUAAAGUCUUGAAACUUCAGUUUUCUGAUGGGAAAAAAUGAGAAUAAUAAAGACUACCUUAUGGGGUUGCUGUGUAGAUUUAAUGAGAUAAUAUAUCUGAGAGUGCUUUAUAAAGUGCAAUAAAAUAUUAAUUAUCAUAUUAUCAACAUAUAUCUCUCAUCUUUCUUCUAGACUGUAUAUUUCGUGAGGACAAGAUCUACAUUUGAUUUGUCUUUAAAUACACUCAUGCUGAAUGAUUUAAUUAAGAAUCUCUGUAUUAUGGAGUGACAUUGCACCACAAAAUUCUGCCCAUAAAAGGUGAGUCAAAAAUCUUCAAAAGAAGCCGCACCUUCUGAUGUACAGAACAAAAAGAAGUUGUCACAGGAGAUAGCAGAUGCUGGAAAUCCUGAUACUCGCUCUGGGUGGUGUUGACUUCCUACUGAAGGACACAGAGAAAGCCAGAUGCAAGUCUGACAUGGCUAAUUGGGAGGUGUGUGGUCCUCUUGGAGCCUUUUCUUGAGAUGUGACAGAGUGCCUGCCAAGACUAAUCAAACCCAACUGCUACCCACUUCUGCUGAAUCAUAUGGGGCUGCAUUGCAGCAUCUGAAGGAACCUGGGAUUUAUCUCUCAUGAUGUUGAAGCCCUAGAUAGGAAAUGGAAAGUCUGGGAACACAGGUGGUGUUUUCAUUUCUCUCUGCAUUCGAAGGCUAUAACUUUGGAAAGGACGGAGGAAGGGAGAUGAAAGUAAAUGGUGUUAGAGAACAGGAUUUCUUUUUUCUAGAUCAAGGGUAACAAUACCUUGUUGUUGGGCCAAACACAAGAUUCAGGUUACUUAGACUUACUGGGCCAGAGGUGUUCUGACUCAAUCAAAAAGAAUUAAAACUGAAAUUAAUUUAAAAUUCAAAAAGAUGGUAUAGUAAACAAUUAUGACAUAGAUGGAAGAAUUAGUGGAGGGAUUUCUAGUAAUUCUAAGGAGAAAAACAAUAGAAAAGCAAUAAGGAAUUAGAGUCAAGUCCCCAGGUGUCCACACAACAAUGCAGUGAAUGUGAAUAAUUAAUGAGGAUAAAUUAAUAUUUAAACAUAGCCAUAAAUGUGCAUUCCGAAGAAUCAUGUAGAUCCAAUGCAAUGAAAGAUUCCUGGCUAGAAUAUAGCAUUGAGAAGAGAAGGGAAUAUUAUAGAAAGGAAGAUGCAUCAGACACAUACAAAAAUAUGAGACUUGAAAAGAUCAAUAGUUAAAGAAAUAAACCUAAGUAUUUGAAUUUAGGCUCAGAAACUGACUGCACAAAAAUAAAUUAAGAAUGUUCUAGUUUAAGAGAUUUUCAAAUAAAAAGGAACUGAGGAUUUUGAUUCUAUGACAAGGUCCAGAUAAGUCUGUGGAUGCCAGAGGCAAAUGCGGUCAUAAGCUGGGUGUCAUAUCUCAUGUCUCCUACGCUCUGCACUGGUAUGAUCUUAUCUGUAGUAUUUUGCCCAACUCUGGACACCGCAUUUAAGAGUGUCCCAGAAAAAUGUCUGAAGGAGUAUGAGCACUAGGAAUGAUGACAGGUUUAGAAACCAUGUUAUAUGGAAAACAGUUAAAGGAACUGUGGACAUUUAUUCCAAGGAACAACAAAAAAAAGUAACUUAGGAGCCACAUGAUGCUGCCUUGUCUAUGUGAAGGGCUGUCAUUAGGCUGGAGAAUUAGGACUUCGUGUGGUUGCAGAGGAAGGAACUCUAACCGGUGAUUGUGGGAUUCCAGAGAAACAGAUUUGGAUGAAUACAAAUAGGGCUUUCUAAGAGUGUCAGUGUCUUGUUAGUAGGGGGACCUCCUUGAUAUUAGGAAGUUACCCUGCAGAAGUGAGAGAACCACUCUGCAAAGGAAGAAAGCUGAAUCUCGAAGCCCCUUUUCAACUCUAUUAGCCUAUGUCCCUGUGACCAGAUAAGGGAAAUAAAGGAAGUAGAUGAAUUAAAACUAACUCCUAGGUGUGGGGGCUGCAUGCUUUGGAGGAGGUGGUAUUACUCACAAAGAGACAGGUAAAUGGGGAAGAGGAGCCUUUGGGAGGGUAGAUGGUGAGGCUGAGUUUGAGAAAAUGGCAGAUGCUCAAAUGGUUUCAAAAUUAUCAGUUUAAGUAGCUUUGAAUCCAGUUAACUUGGUUCUUUUCUUUGGAUUUGGCACUUAAAAGCCUCCCUGGUUAUGUUACUUAGUUUCAUGAGUUAUGAAGGUGAAGAGAAAGGAGCAGGAGAAAGCUAGUAUUUAAGAGUAAAAGCAGGAGUCAUUACUAGGCCAUAUAUAAUCCAAUUGAAAUUUCAGAGCAGGGUAGUUAUUAUUUUGUUCAUUUUGCAGAUGAAGAAAUUAAAGUUAGAGAAGUUACUAAUUUGUCUAAUUCAAAGUACCGGUAGGUAGAAAUAGGAUUCAAACCUAUUUCAUUUAAAAAAAUAAUAUCCUGUACAAAGGGAAUACAUAUGCAAGUCUAUCGGCAAACAAAUUUGAAUGUGUCACCAUUACCAGCAAAAUAAAUAAAAGUGUUUUAAUAGUAAGUAUACAAGUAUAAAGGAGAGCUCUUUGGACUUAGCAGAUGCACACAAAAUGCAUUUGGAACUACAUGAUAGGAAUCAUUCAAAUCAUGGAUUCUAAGUACUGAAAAACAGGAUGUAACUAAAACUUUUAGCAUAAUAGAAAUAAAAAAUAGAAUAUUUUACAGUCUACUGCUUUUUUUUAUAAAGGAAUAGAUAAGAACAGAAAAAAGACUUUCUGAUCAAGGAAAAGUAUGCUCAUUUUUAUUCCAUAAAAUAGUAAAUAUUCAUAUCCCCAAUUUGUAUAUUUAUAAAUUAAUAAACUGUCAUUUAUCUGAAUAAAGCUCAAAUGACUAGAUUUUGUUUUACGGUGAAGCAGACAUAUUUACUUAUGAAGAUGGCCU